rnacentral:lncRNA from 1 species
AUUUAUUUUGAGACAUAAUAUAGUUUGUUAUUUUUUUUACUUAAUUAACUUAAUUUUGUAGCUCUUUAUUAUUAUAUUCUUAAGAAAUAUGAGUAUUUAUGCUAAUAGCAGAAAUUUUGAGAGAAAAAAAAAACUUAAUUUAAUAGCCGAAUUUUUUAUCCCGAAUUUUUAAUUGAUGAACGUAUAAUAUUCGUAUAAAUCACGUAUCCGAAUAAUUGGAAAAUUCGUUUUUUAGCCGUAUUUUUCAACGAAUUUAAAAAUUAAAAGACGAAUUUUAUUCGAAUUAUAUCCGUAACAAAUUUUUGCCGAAUCCGAAAAUUCUACUCUACUCUUUCUCUCUCUCUCUCUAUAUAUAUUAAUUUAUUUUUUUUUUUUUUUUUUU